rnacentral:tRNA from 1 species
GGGGUGUAGCUCAGUUGGUUAGAGCGCUGGCCUGUCACGCCAGAGGCCGCGGGUUCGAGCCCCGUCGACCC